rnacentral:rRNA from 1 species
AGUGAACGCUGGCGGUAGGCUUAACACAUGCAAGUCGAACGGCAGCACAGUAAGAGCUUGCUCUUACGGGUGGCGAGUGGCGGACGGGUGAGGAAUGCAUCGGAAUCUACUUUUUCGUGGGGGAUAACGUAGGUAAACUUACGCUAAUACCGCAUACGACUUACGGGUGUAAGCAUGGGAUCUUUUGACCUUGAGCGAUUGAAUGAGCGGAUGUCGGAUUAGCUAGUUGGCGGGGUAAAGGCCCACCACGGCGACGAUCCGUAGCUGGUCUGAGAGGAUGUUCGACCACCCGGGAACGGAACCGGGGUCCAGAGCCCUACGGUAGGCAGCAGUGGGGUAUAUUAGACAAUGGGCGGAAGCAUGAUCCAGCCAAACCGCGUCGGUGGAGAAGGCCUUGGGGUUGGAAAGCCCUUUUGUUGGGAAAGAAAAGCAGCAGGUUAAUACGCCGCCGUUCUGACGGUACCCAAAGAAUAAGCACCGGCUAACUUCGUG